GCUCAGGUGGCGGAAUGGUAGACGCGCUAGCUUGAGGGGCUAGUAGGGGCAACCCUGUGGAGGUUCAAAUCCUCUUCUGAGCA
rnacentral:tRNA from 1 species